CAUUGAAUGGCUGAAUUUUAAGCAUUGGUCUCUUAAACCAUAUAAUAGUUUUAAACUUUCAAUGG
rnacentral:tRNA from 1 species